ACGGAUGCCUGUCUGCCGUCUAAACUUCUUCUGGACAUGAACGUCUUUCAAGAGUCCUGCUGCUCCAUUUUAGGAGUUCUCCUGGUUUUUCUUCUCCAAGGGUCGUGUGUUGAUUCAGAUGCAGAGGUUGUGCACAAAGCUGUUGGAGACUCACUGGAAUUAACUGCUGAUUAUCCAAAAGAUGAUCUUGAAGUAGAAUGGAAAUAUAAUGAUACUCCUUUUGCUGAGUAUCGAAAUAAAAGAUUUCCAAAAAGUGAAAUCUGAAUUAUUUUAUGAAAGAAUAAGUAAGUAUAAGGACAAUAUUAGUAUAAUAGUAGCAGACCUCAAAGUUCAGGAUUCUGGAAACUUCUCAGUUGUUGCAGAAGGAAAAUCUACACAAUACAAUACAACAUUCAUUGUGCUCCAUGUUCAUGAUCUCAUCAGAGAUGUUCAGAUUGAGUGCAAUGUUUCCUGGCUGCAGGACAUGUGUGUCCGGUGAUCAGAAUCCCUCCUACAGCAGGACCGGUCAUCAGAUCCAGACUCAAGGAUCUCACCUGAAUAUCAGCCUCCGUCCAGCAGAGAGCGCUACACUCACCUGCACAGCCGACAACACCGUCAGCGUCAGGUAUACUACUGAGACUGUAGUGUGCACAGAGACAUCUGAGGAGCAAUGGUUCUGUGUAAAAAGUUGAAUUCUUAAAUUAUAUAAUUUACAAAAAGUUUAUGUUGAAAUAAAGACAGACUAAGAAACAUGCCCACACAUUUUGGAGACCCAUUUG